UACGUAGGGGGCAAGCGUUGUCCGGAUUUAUUGGGCGUAAAGAGCGUGUAGGCGGCCAAACAGGUCCACUGUGAAAACUCGAGGCUCAACCUCGAGACGUCGGUGGAAACCGUCUGGCUAGAGUCCGGAAGAGGAGAGUGGAAUUCCUGGUGUAGCGGUGAAAUGCGCAGAUAUCAGGAAGAACACCCGUGGCGAAGGCGGCUCUCUGGGACGGUACUGACGCUGAGACGCGAAAGCGUGGGGAGCGAACAGG
rnacentral:rRNA from 1 species